UACGGAGGGGGCUAGCGUUGUUCGGAAUUACUGGGCGUAAAGCGCACGUAGGCGGCUUUGUAAGUUAGAGGUGAAAGCCCAGGGCUUAACCCUGGAAUUGCCUUUAAGACUGCAUCGCUAGAAUUGUGGAGAGGUAAGUGGAAUUCCGAGUGUAGAGGUGAAAUUCGUAGAUAUUCGGAAGAACACCAGUGGCGAAGGCGACUUACUGGACACAUAUUGACGCUGAGGUGCGAAAGCGUGGGGAGCAAACAGG
rnacentral:rRNA from 1 species